rnacentral:rRNA from 1 species
CACGUAGGGCGCGAGCGUUGUCCGGAAUUAUUGGGCGUAAAGAGCUCGUAGGCGGCCUGUUGCGUCCGCUGUGAAAGCCCGGGGCUUAACCCCGGGUCGGCAGUGGAUACGGGCAGGCUAGAGGUAGGUAGGGGAGAAUGGAAUUCCCGGUGUAGCGGUGAAAUGCGCAGAUAUCGGGAGGAACACCGGUGGCGAAGGCGGUUUCUCUGGGCCUUACCUGACGCUGAGGAGCGAAAGCGUGGGGAGCGAACAGG